rnacentral:rRNA from 1 species
CGUCGCGUGUUUCCUGGUGGUAGGUAGAGCUACUGGAUGGCCGAUGGGCCCUGUGGGUUACUGUACGUCAGCCAAACUCCGAAUGCCAUCAGGGUCGUAGCGCGGCAGUGAGACCGCGGGGAUAAGCCUCCGUGGUCGAGAGGGAAACUAGCCCGGACCGUCCGGACUAAGGCCCCCAAAUGACUGCUAAGUGAUUAAAGGAGGUGGGAGUGCAACGUGACAACCAGGAGGUUUGUCCUACGAAAGACACGGCCACCCUUAAAAGAGUGCGUAAUAGCUCACUGGUCUAGCGCUCCUGCGUCCGAAAAUGAACGGGGUCGACGCGGCCGAGUCGUGGUAGGCAAGGCACACCAGGGGAUAGGUNANNNUNNCACUNUNNCNGCGNUGNNGUNAGGUNCCAUGCAGNUCCAUGCUGCUCGAGNGUCUGGCUGUCU